rnacentral:lncRNA from 1 species
AGGACACCUGCCCGGCUCAAUGCUCUGGGGUUCAACACAGGCACAGGAGUGAAGCAGAGCUCAUGGAUUUGUCUGCUUCACUUGCAGAGUGAAGCCCAGGAAAGGACACCCUGCCCCUCUUCCUUGGCUGUGGAAAGCUUUGUCUUUGAAAAACACGACAAGCACUAAAGUAGGAAAUAGGAUGAAUAAGUGAUGACUCUUGAAAGGGGAUUGGAAAGCAGCAGCA